GACAUAGUAGGUUGUAGGAACUAGGAAAACGGGACCGUACCGUUCGGGAGCCUAUACGAGGUGUUGCAUGGCUGUCGUCAGCUCGUGUCGUGAGAUGUUCGGUUAAGUCCGCUAACGAGCGCAACCCUCGUCGUAUGUUAUAUGUGUCAUACGAGACUGCCGGUAAAAAGCCGGAGGAAGGUGAGGAUGAUGUCAAGUCAGCAUGACCUUUAUAUCCAGGGCUACACACACGCUACAAUGGUCUGUACAAUGGGUAGCCAAGCCGCGAGGCGGAGCCAAUCCAGCAAAACUUCCCUCAGUUCAGAUUGCAGGCUGCAACCCGCCUGCAUGAAGUUGGAGUUGCUAGUAAACGCAGGUCAGCCAUACUGCGUUGAAUACGUUCCCGGGGCUU
rnacentral:rRNA from 1 species